rnacentral:lncRNA from 1 species
AAAAACCUCAGCUUUCUCUCAUUUUUCCCUCAACCCUCCCAUGUCCGGCCAUCAGGUCCGACGAGGCCCACGGUGGCCGGCGGCCUCCAGUCACCGACGACGGGCUCCGUUGUUUCCCAGUGGCCGAAAAUCGCAAAAAAUAGCCCUCUUUAUCCUUUCGACCCUCCCAAACCUAGAUCUGGAGUUAUUAUUUUUUUUUAAUCGUCAAAAUAGUUGGAAUCCUUAGAGAACCUUUCGGUUUUCUAGGUUUCAAAAACCCCUAUGCCCAAAAGAUGUCAUCUUUCAUCGGAGAUGACUGUCCUCAGCCACUUAUGGCGGCAAAACUCGAAGAACCCGGAAGGUUUUCCACCCCUUUUUAUUUAUUUAUGUUUUAUUUAUAAAAUAUAUUCGUGAAAAAUAAAAGAAAAGAAAAAAAAAUCACAUUUUUGAAGUUUUGAGUUCUGUUCUUUUAUUACGCUUGUGUGUGUAAAAAAAUACAUGGUGUCUGGCUCUUAUAGCCGAUUUUACAUAUAAUUUUUUCUUUUUCUUUCUCUAUUUUGCUACUGUUUUUUCAUGUUUUCAUUCAUUAACCUCGUCUCUUGCUUUUUGUCGUCUUUCUCUUUUUUGCAGGUGGUGGCAGAGGGUGAAAUCAACGGCGGUGGUGGCAGAGGGGGUGUCAGAUGGCACGCCUGCCAACGUGGCAAGGCUGUGGCGUGAAAAGGGGCUAGGGUUUCUGAUUUACUGAAAAUGUUUAAGUGUUUUGGGCCACUGGGCCGUUAGGGUUUUCUUUUAUUUUGGGUCAUUUGGGCUUCUUUUGUAAUAGGAUUUAGACAGUUAAUUUUUUUUUAUUUGAUUUGGUUUCGACCCUGGGCAAAAAUGGCAUGUUACAAUAGUGAUGCCCUAAGACUUGAAAUACAUUAAACUACUACAUAUUGACUUAUAC